UGCAGAUGGAACCUAGGGCCUUGUGCAUGUUAUGCAAGUGCUCUACACCGAGGGACACCUCCAGCCAUUGUCGGUUCUCUUGGUGUGAAUAAAUCCCAUCAAGUAUGGAAAGAGGCAGGAAGCACUGUGUGUGAGGGCUUUGGUGUCUGCAUUGCCCUUUAUGUCUAUGUCAUUUAUUGAACUUGCAUGUCCAGUAAGCUCUUUUUGCUCUUUCUCCUCAGCAGUAACAUGGGGAUCAUAAUUUUACAUCUGUCACUAGACUCUGAGGUUUGAAUGUAUUAAUAUCCACACAGCAUUGAUACAAAGCCUGUGUUAUACAAAACACAGGGUAAAGCUGUAGUGAAUAUUUUAUGGGAGCCAAUUUUUUUAAGCCCUAUUUACUACUUCAGAUUUUACCUAACAAUACUUCUUUUCUUGUAGGUGGUUCGUCGUUUCUUGUUGGUCUUUUCCUGUUGGUUGGACAUUUCUCUCUCCCUGUUGAAUGUUUCCUGUUCUCUGAAGAAUAUUUAUCAUUCCAUCUUCCAAAUGUGGAAAAUCAUCCUUAACACCUUUUGUUUUCCUGGAGUGAAGCAACACAUCUACACCCUGACUGUCUUCCUGUUUAGUUCUGUGGCCUGGGUAUUGGGUAUCACCCUAGUGAGCAGUGUAUCCUGGCGCGUGUGGGAAUUUGACAGCCAUGUUGUUCCCAUUGCCUUCAUUGGCCUUUGGGAUGCUCAAUAUUAUGUCAGGCAAAACAACUCUGGCACAGUGGUUGAUGUGCCAGUAGAUACCAGCAUCCACAGGGGGUGGACCCAGGCAAUUGAGCUUGAUUAUGCAAAAGAACUAAUGGUGUUGGUGAAUUUUACUCAGCCAGCGGCCCUGAUUCUCAGCAUAGUGGCCUUCCUAGUAAGCAGGCUGAAGCCCACCUACCCAGAAUUUCUGAGACUCUAUUACAGAAGCGCGGCCCUCCUUCUUUUCCUCAGCUCUGGCUCUGUGGCUCUGGCUGUGAGCUGGAACUAUGCCAUGGAUAUUUCUGGCCAAAGCACCCUUGAUUUCCCAUUAGAGUUUACUGUGGGCAAAAAGACUGUGACCAAGAAACACUUCUCCUAUGUGUUCCCACUAGGGAUCGUCACUGCCACUCUGUCCCUCCUCAGUGGCAUCCUAUGCUUUGGGCCCAUGAGCUUCACAAAGCCCAAGUCAAUGGCAGCGGCAGAUGUGCCCUAAGGAAAGCUCAGAACUGAGAGCCAGGAUGUGUGGGAAGGCCUGAGCACAGGGUGCUUGGGAAAUUGCCACCUACUUAGCAUUCUGAAGCAACUAUGUCCUCACCGCAAAUAAAAUCUAUUCCUUUGAUUUCUCAAAAAUAAAUAAAUAAAUAAAUAAAUAAAAAUUCCC
rnacentral:lncRNA from 1 species